rnacentral:rRNA from 1 species
UACGUAGGUGGCAAGCGUUGUCCGGAAUUACUGGGUGUAAAGGGAGCGCAGGCGGGAAGCCAAGUCAGCUGUGAAAACUACGGGCUUAACUUGUAGACUGCAGUUGAAACUGGUUUUCUUGAGUGAAGUAGAGGUUGGCGGAAUUCCGAGUGUAGCGGUGAAAUGCGUAGAUAUUCGGAGGAACACCGGUGGCGAGGGCGGCCAACUGGGCUUUAACUGACGCUGAGGCUCGAAAGUGUGGGGAGCAAACAGG